UGAGGAAUUUUCCGCAAUGGGCGCAAGCCUGACGGAGCGACGCCGCGUGAGGGAUGAAGGCUUUCGGGUUGUAAACCUCUUUUGCAAGGGAAAAAGGUGCUGGUGCUCAUACCAUCAGUACUUGAUGGUACUUUGCGAAUAAGCCCCGGCUAACUACGUGCCAGCAGCCGCGGUAAUACGUAGGGGGCGAGCGUUGUCCGGAGUUACUGGGCGUAAAGGGCGUGUAGGCGGUUGGAUAAGUCUGGUGUGAAAUUCCUCGGCUCAACCGAGGAGCUGCGCUGGAAACUGUCUGACUGGAGUUCGGCAGGGGUGACUGGAAUUCCUGGUGUAACGGUGAAAUGUGUAGAUAUCAGGAGGAACACCUGUGGCGAAGGCGGGUCACUGGGCCGCAACUGACGCU
rnacentral:rRNA from 1 species